rnacentral:rRNA from 1 species
CAGUAGCCGCGGGAAAACGUAGGGUGCAAGCGUUAAUCGGAAUUACUGGGCGUAAAGCGUGCGCAGGCGGUUUGUUAAGACAGAUGUGAAAUCCCCGGGCUCAACCUGGGAACUGCAUUUGUGACUGGCAAGCUAGAGUCUGGCAGAGGGGGGUGGAAUUCCGCGUGUAGCAGUGAAAUGCGUAGAUAUGCGGAGGAACACCGAUGGCGAAGGCAGCCCCCUGGGCCAACACUGACGCUCAUGCACGAAAGCGUGGGGAGCAAACAGGAUUAGAUACCCCCGUAGUCCCUGUCUCUUAUAC